UACGUAGGCAGCGAGCGUUGUUCGGAAUUACUGGGCGUAAAGAGUGUGUAGGCGGUGCUCCAAGUUCGGUGUGAAAUCUCCUGGCUCAACUGGGAGGGUGCGCCGGAAACUGGAGUGCUUGAGCGUGGGAGAGGAAAGCGGAAUUCCUGGUGUAGCGGUGAAAUGCGUAGAUAUCAGGAGGAACACCUGUGGUGUAGACGGCUUUCUGGACCAUAGCUGACGCUGAGACACGAAAGCGUGGGUAGCAAACAGG
rnacentral:rRNA from 1 species